AUAAAAGUUAAAUACAAGAUUUGAACAGUCAAAUGCCUCGUACGUUUAGGAAAAUCAUUUAAACUACAUCUAGUUUCAUUUAACUUAUUGCACCAAGUUGUCUAUCUUUCAUUGACCACUCACUUCAUAUUUCAAAUAAGUUCAGCUUCAAGAAGUUUCUGGCACCUUGUUCCCCUUUCUCUUUCCCCUUUUUUCUUUGGGGCACCAGCUGUUUUGUCUUUCUUCCACAUAGCCUAUAAGAUAAACAAAACAAUCCAGUAUUAAAAUAACUCACUUUAAUUUCUUGAUCAAAAUUUUUAAAAAUAAAAGGCUUAGAUGUCUAACCUCGAGAGUUUUGACCUUUGUAAGAAUAUCCUCGGGCACCUCGUACUCCUGUCCCUUUCCCCUUCUUUUGUCUGCGCGAAGAUUAAGUGUUUUAGAUAAGAGUGAGUUUCUCUAGUGGUAAGUAUUUUUCACUUUCAAUCAAGAGCUUGUGAGUUCGAGUCAUCCCAAGAGCAAGGUGGGGAGUUUUUGGAGGGAGGGAGCCGAGGGUCUAUCGGAAACAGCCUCUCUACCCCAGGGUAGGGGUAAGAUCUGCGUACACACUAUCCUCCCCAAACCUCACUAGUGAGAUUAUACUGGGUUGUUAUUGUUGUUGUCUCCGUUCCAGUUUAUGUGAACCUAUUUUCUUUUUAGUCCGUUCCAAAAAGAGUGACCUCUUUUUAAAUUUGGAAAUAAUUUUGCUUAAACUUACAAUUCUACCCUUAAUGAUAAGCUUUUAUAACCACACAAAUACUCUGGACCUCUUUUUGAAUUGUUUAGAACCACAAAUUACAAAAGUCUUUAUUUUUUCUUAAACUCCGUGUCCAGUCAAACAGGUUCACAUAAAUUGAAACGGAGGGAGUAUAAGAUAACAAAGCAAUCCGUUAAAAUAGAAUAAAACUCUUUUUUGAUUAGAAUUUUGAAGGGAAAAAAAGGCAGGGUGACUCAAGGGGAGGCCAAUAAAGCCUUUACCUUAGGCCUCAUAAUUUUAAGACUCCAAAAAAAUUAUAAUAGUAAAUUUUAUGAUUUUGUACGCUUAAAUAAUAUUAAAAUUUGUAAAAAAAAAGAAAGAAAAAAAGUACGAAAUCUCUAUAUGAGAGAGAAGGACUUGUCUUUUUUAGCAAUAACUACGCUUCGAUCAAAAUAAAGUUGGGGGUUGUCUUCUUUUUAACAAUAGAAUUUUGAAUUAAACUGCUCAAAUCUUCAUAUUAGUAAAAAAAAUAAAAAAUUACAAUAACAUCCAUAGUUGUAUAGGAAAAAAUACGACAUGACACAUGACCGCUUAAAGGAAGGACACGUAGAAUACAAGAUGGAGAUGGCCACCGAACAUAGCUAUUCUGCUUGUCACCGGAAGGGAUAAAGAUCAUAAAAGGAGUAGUAAAUGCUUUGCGCCCGGUAACAUUUAAUACAGAAUAUUUUGCAGCAUUAAGGAUGAUAGCAUGCUACAAGGAAUUUGGCAUUUAUGUCUAACGUUACAUCUUCAUCAAUGACCCUCAUAAUUGACAUUAAAGAAGGGCAUGAUCCUAGGACUUCUUUCCCUAGACAUAACUGUAAAUAAAGAGCUCAAUUAUCAUUGUAAGGCAUGAAUUUUCUGGCUAACUAACAUUAUAUUCUAUACAGCAUUUUAAUACAAGUUUAUUCUCUCGCUUUUGAUCUCAUCAUUGUUGUGCCCGGAAACCUUCUUCCCGGAUUCAUUAGCUCUGUUGUUUCAUCUAUAUUUUAAGGCUAAGUAUUUUAUAUUUCAUCAGUUAUUUCAUUACUUUUUGGAUCAAAUUAAUUCACUUGUCUAGAAACCACGAACAAAUUCAACAGUACCAUUUUUUGGAAAAACAGUUUGGCACCCACCGUGGGGCCUAGACGGUCGUAUAGUUAAAUUAAUCCUUGCCUUUUUUACUAAUUUGUUUGAUUAUUUUGUCUUAGCAAAAAUCACAAAAGAAAUUGCACAUAACACUGUUAACGGCACACAUAACCCUAAAAUUCAAGGGGAACAACCUCAUUUCGAGGAUUUAAUCAGUGACACUCGCAAUGAGGGGAACGUUGCCACAUCGGAACGUGACAGGCGGUACCCUCGAUAGGUUCGGGAGGCAACUCCUAAUGAUGCUGAUGAGGGGUAUGUGGCGGAUGCAAUAAGGGUCCUGCAAGAGCAACAUGCAGUCAUUCUAGGCCAUCUCACGCAACAGGAUCAGGUUAUGACAGAACUGAAGCAGGCGCUAUCGGGUGCCUCAAAUAAUGCAAACAGGCAAGAUCCAGUUCCUCCUGAUAUCCCCGCAAAUCAGACGACGAAGAGAGUUGAUAAUAACACUCCUAGGGGCGAAGUUGGCUCCGAUGGGGCUGGGGGGAGUAGAUCCGGCCUCAACAACGAGAAAGAUCCAUUCAAGGAUGAACUCUUGCGGUUCAUGAAGGAAGUAAACACCCGCAUGGAUCAAAUCCCAAGCGCGCCACCAGUAUUAAAAGGCCCAAACUUAAAGAAGUAUAUUCAGUUACCGUACAAGUCGAGUGCAGCCCCGGAAUUGAUCCCGAAGCGGUUCAAAAUGCCCGAAGUGCCGAAGUAUGACAGAACUUCAGAUCCACAGGAGCACAUUACCACCUACACAACAACGGUAAAAGGAAAUGAUUUAGCUCCUCACGAAAUUGAGUCUAUGUUGCUGAAAAUAUUUGGUGAGACUCUCACAAGGGGAGCUUUAACGUGGUAUGUAUUAUUGCCCGAGCAUUCCAUAGAUUCCUUUGAGAUGCUCGCGGAUUCUUCAUCAAGGCUCAUGUCGGUGCCAGGAAGGUAUAUGUCCGAAAGGCCGAUAUAUUCAGGAUCGUGCAGGGAGAAUUCGAGUUAUUACGAGAGUUUGUCACCCGGUUCCAAAAGGAAAGGAUGUUUUUACCGGCAGUCCCGGAUGAAUCGGCAGCUAAAGCAUUCACCAAAGGUUUAAAUCCUAGAAGUUUGGACGCUUCCCAGAAGUUGAAGGAAAGUCUGCUCGAGUUCCAAGCGACGACUUGGGCAGAUGUCCACAACCGGUGAGAGUCGAAAAUAAGGAUAAAAGAUGAUCAAGUUAGAUUUCCAUCGCCGACCAAAGGAUGGAAGAAGAACAAAGAAAAAACGAAAGAUGAUAUUAACACAGCUAGACGUACUUCGAUGGGACGGUUUUUUCUCUACGAGCGGACAGAAGGUCGUGUCAGGAACUUCCGAACAACAGACAGGCUCACCGUUGAUAGAAGGACCGAUCGUGGCCGGAACUACAGAUCGCUGCAGGAUAGAGAAAUCUCGGGGUCGCGAGAUUCUUCUUACCCAAAGUUAUCAGAAUAUAACUUCAAUGUUAGUGUCGUAGAGUUGGUGUCAUCCAUGAGGAGUAUUAAAGAGGCACGAUUCCCAAGACCUAUGAAAUCUGAUCCCAGCCGGAGGGACCCUAAUUUAUAGUGUGAAUACCAUCGCACUAACGGCCACCUGACUGGGGACUGCCGACACCUCCGGGAAGAAGUGGCAACGCUGUUAAAGAAUGGUCACCUCAGAGAAUUCUUGAGUAAUCAUGCUAAAAACAAUUAUGGUCGGAACAGGAGCGAUACGGAAACCUCGAAAGCAGGAGAAGAACCUCCACAGCAAAUGAUCAACAUGAUCUUCGGAGGGAAUAAAAUUAACGGGGUCACCUUUACGGAAGCGAAGAAGACAAAAGUGUGGAUAACUCAUAGUAAGAGGCUCCGGGAGACGAUAUCACAUUCACGGAUGAAGAUGUAGACGAAUUACUACUCCCGCAUAAUGACGCACUGGUAAUUUCUUUAAAUGUGUUAGAUUUUAAAAUUAAACGUGUUUUAGUGGAUCCAAGAAGUUUAGCUAAUAUCAUAUAAUGGAGAGUACUGGAGCAAGCUCAACUCUCCGGAAGCAUUAUCCCGGCAACGAAACUCCUCGCCGGAUUUAACCUCGCAAGCAUGACAACCCGGGGAGAAAUUUUGCUGCUCACGAACGCUGAGGGAGUAAUGAAGACAACACUCUUCGAAGUGGUAGAUGGAGACAUGGGGUAUAACAUCAUCUUGGAAAGACCAUAGCUGCACGAGAUGAAAGCCGUACCUUCAACAUAUCACCAAUUGUUAACAUUUCCGACACCUGAGGGGAUCAAACAGAUAAAGAGUGAUCAACCAGCAGCAAGGGAGAUGAAUGAAAUUUCGGUUUCCAGAAGCAAAGGAAAGGAAUGUGCGUCAUAGCAAUUACUGGAACCGGCACCUGCCCCCGAACUAGAGGAAGAUAACCCGGGGACAGAAGAGUCGGAACAAUAUCAGGUACCAAGAUAUUUUCAAGUAGUGGAAGAGACAGUUGCGACGAAGUCUACGGUAGAAGAACUAAAGCAGGUUGUGUUGUUCGGAGAAUUCCUAGAAAGAAAAUUUCAAUUUGGGAACAGGAUUACACCCUACUUUUAGUGAAUUCCUUAAAAAUAACACUGAUUUUUUUGCAUGGUCGCACGAGGAGAAAUCCCGAUGGAGAUAGUCGUACACAAGUUAAUCUUGGAUCCCAACACACCUCCAGUAAGGCAGAAAAAGCUCACUACUGCCGAAGAAAGGAAUAAAUUCGUCAAAGAAGAGGUAACCCAUUUACUUAAGAUUGGUUCAAUCUGAGAGGUAAGAUAUCCGGAUUGGCUAGCAAAUGUAGUAAUAGUUCCUAAGAAAAAUAAUAAAUUUUGCAUGUGCGUAGAUUAUAAGGAUCUUAAUAAGGUGCGCGCGAAAGACUCAUUCUCAUUGCCAAAUAUUAAUCAAAUGAUUGAUGCCACGACCGGGAGCAAGUUAACGAGUUUCCUCGAUGCUUAUUCUGGGUACAAUCAAAUCAAGAUGAACCAGAAGAUCAAGAAAAGACUUCGUUUAUAACAAAUAUUACAAUGUGAUGCCCUUCAAGCUAAAAAAUGCCGGAGCCACUUAUCAACGGCUCGUGAAUAAGAUGUUCAAAAAACAAAUAGGAAAAACUAUGGAAGUAUAUAUAGACGAUAUGCUCGUUAGGUCUUUGAACGCAGGUGACCACCUGAAGCAUUUGCAAGAAACAUUCGACAUCCUGAGGAAGCAUAAUAUAAAGCUUAACCCCGAGAAGUGUGCUUUCGGGGUCAAUUCGGGUAAGUUCCUAGGGUUCCUAGUCUCUCAAAGGGGAAUUGAGGUAAAUCCCGACAACAUCAAGGCCAUAGAGGACAUCCCAGAUCAAUUGUCUAACGUAAAAGAAGUCCAAAGUCUCACAAGGAGAUUGGAAGCUUUGAGCAGCUUCAUUUCCCGUUCAUCGAAACAAUGUCAUCGCUUCUUCGCACUACUCAAAAAGAAAAACAAAUUCGAAUGGACACCGGAGUGUCAGCAAGCCUUGAAGGAGUUGAAGAAAUAUUUGUCAAGCCCUCCGUUGCUCUCAAAACCAAAAGAAGAUGAAACAUUUCUAGUCUACCUCGUUGUUUUAGAAGUUGCGGUAAGUACAGUUUUAGUCCGGGAGGACGAAGGUACGCAAUCUCCCAUUUAUUAUGUUAGUAAAAUUUUAACAGGAGCAUAAACUAGCUACCCACAUUUGGAAAAGAUGGCCUUAGCUCUCGUCGUCGCCGCUCAAAAGUUGAGGCCCUACUUCCAAUGCGACCCGAUAGUUGUGGUGACUACUUUCCCUCUAAGGAAUAUCCUUUAUAAACCUGAGCUCUCGGGUAGAUUUGCCAAAUGGGCCGUCAAAAUGAGCGAGUUCGAUAUAGAAUAUAAAUUGAGGACUGCAAUUAAGUCGCAAGUCUUGGAUGAUUUCGUGGCCGGUUUCAGUCCGGGACUAUUGUCUCUAGCAGCCAAGGAGGCAAUAAUGGUGUCAGAAUCGACAUCGGGGGUUUGGACCUUAUUUAUGGACGGAGCUUCAAAUGUAAAAGGGUCCGGGCUCUGAAUAGUCUUAAUCAUGCCUUCGGGGGAAACCUUAAGGCAAGACAUCCAAAUGAUUCCUUUAACUAACAAUGAAGCAGAGUACGAAGCUUUGAUUGCAGGGCUCGAAUUGGCCCAGGGGCUUGACUCCGAAGUCAUCGAAAUCAAAUGUGAUUCGCAGCUGGUGGUAAAUCAGGUCUACAGAAUUUUUAACACCAAAGAGGAACGUAUGCAACAAUAUGUGGUAAAGAUUCAGACUAUAUUGGCAUGAUUCCGGGAGUGGUCAAUAACACAUAUCUCGAGGGAAGAUAACGCGGAAGCAGAUGCAUUGACAAAUUUGGGCUCAUCAACAGAAAUCCAAGGAUCAGAAUCAGGGACAGUAGUACAACUGAUGAACUGAGCAUUAGACACAGAUGGUUACUAUGGGGUGAAUUCGAUUAUUUUGGUCUGGGACUGGAGAAAAGAAAUAAUCGAUUAUCUCGAGUAUGGAAAGUUGCCCGAAGACCCCAAAGCAUCAAAAGCGUUGCGCGCCAAAGCUGCACGUUAUAGCUUCAAGAAAGGCCAAUUGUACAGAAAAUCCUUUCAAGGCCCUUUGGCCAGGUGCUUAGGAGAAUCAUAAGCUAACUAUGUCAUGAGAGAAGUCUACGAAGGGAUAUGCGGCAACCACUCAGGUGCAGAUUCUUUGGUGCUCAAAUUAGUUCAGGCAGGAUAUUACUGGCCUCGUAUGGAACAAGAUGCGAAAGACUUUGUACAAAAAUGUGAUAAGUGCCAAUUCUACGCAUCACUAGUACAUCAACCGACAGAACCCUUGCAUUCAGUUAUGUCCCCGUGGUCGUUCAUGAAAUGGGGGAUGGACAUUGUCGGAUCCCUGCCGUCGGCUCCUGGAAAGGUAAGGUUUCUUUUAAUUUAGACUGACUAUUUUUCUAAAUAGGUGGAAGCAGGUCCUUAUCAAAAGAUAGGAGAACGCGAAAUUGUCGACUUUCUGUUGAAAAAUAUAAUUUGCAGGUUUGGAAUACCAAACGAGAUUGCAUGCGACAAUGGGUCGCAAUUUAUCGGUGCAAAAGUUACAAAGUUCCUUGAAGAUAAGAGGAUUACCUCUUCACCUUAUAAUCCGAGCGCAAAUGGUCAAGCGGAGUCAACAAACAAAGUGAUUAUUCAAAACCUCAAGAAAAGAUUGGAAGCAGCAAAAGGCAGCUGGCCUGAAGAAUUGCCUGGGGUUCUAUGGGCCUUACGAACAACGUCCAAGUCAAGCACGAGAGAGACCCCUUUUUCCUUUGUAUACGGCGCAAAAGCUUUGAUACCGGUGGAAGUUGGGGAACCAACCUUAAGGUAUUUUGAGGUGAACGGAGGAUCGAACAACGAAGCAAUGCUAAUCAACUUGGAGCUGCUCGAAGAACACAGGGACUUGGCGCAUGUCAAAAUGGCGGCUCAAAAGCAAAGAAUGGAGCGAUAUUAUAAUCGAAGAGCAAACCUUCGAUAUUUCAAAGUAGGAGACUUGGUCUUGAGGAAGGUAACUCAAAACACCCGAGGACUCAACGCGGGCAAGUUAGGCCCAACAUGGGAAGGCCCUUACCGGGUUUCAGCUAUCACUAAGAAAGGAUCAUACGAGUUGGAGAACCAAAACAGAGACAAGUUGCCCAACAACUGGAAUGUAGCUCACCACAAAAGAUAUUACUUCUGACGAAUAACAGUCAAACAGAAAGUAUGUGUUGCACUCUUUUUCCCUUCGUUCAGCUUUUGUCCUAAUUGAGUUUUUUCUAGCAAGGUUCUAAACGAGGCAGUGACAGAAAGCAUACUACGAAGCAGUGAUAAGACCUUUGAUAACAAGGCAAACAAGCAAGUUUUCACUCGGGGAUGAUUAAAUAAUAUUUUCUUGGAUAGCAAAUUCCCACCGGUAAGUUAAGUUUUCUACCGAAAAGAGAUUACCCGAUCGUUCACGAGCACAAAUCACUAGAGGAUUUUUAGGUAUUCUUUCGCUCGAUAACAUGAGUUCCUAAUGGGAAACAAGAUAUGUUGCUGAGUGAACGAUUACCUAGCAAUUCAUUGGUGGGAUGUUCAAAGAUACAAUGCUUCCAGUGUUCCAAUUCGCAUUCUUCGCAUUCGAACACUGGGGGGAAUGAUAUGAGGUUACGACAACACUGAAUGCCAGGCAACAUUGAGUGCCACGUCAAUCGGGGAACAAAAAUUCGGAACAGAAUACAUCAUCGGGACCGGGGACUGUGCAGCCAACCCCGUAGAAACAAGUUGUACAAGAUAGCCACAAGUCAUGGCAAUUUCUUUAUAGCCACAAGUCAUGGCAAUCUCUUUUCUGCAUAGCAAAAUGCUUAUGUACUUUUGAAAAUAGAAGGAAUUAAAUGAAAUGAAAUCCUUUUGUUUUUAUCUUGUUUCUUGUUUGAACGAUGAGCCAAUUUUACCAUUUGAAAGUUAAACAAGUACUUCAAAUAAUUGUGCCGUAAUAAAUAGGAUACGUCCUCUUCAAGAGCAUCGUAAACAUAAGAGGGCCCUAUCUUAUAAAUACCCUCACGUUAAAAGGUUGGUUCCAGAAGGAUCAAUGCCCGAAAUCCAUAAUGGAUCGGGGAAAAAUACACCCGAAGCUGCAUACGAAAAAGACGCAAAAAUAAUCUUGCACAAAUACUUAUUGAAACCCUCAUGUAAAAGGGAUAAUUCUUGGAACCAAAAUGCUUCGAAGAAAAAGCAUCCGAGAUUACACAUGAUAAAGUGCGAAUAGAACAACAUGCGCUGAAUACGUAAGCAAGUACUAAAGACUUGCAUGAAUAUUCAAAACGAAAAUAAGACUCAAACGAUACUUGAGCAAAAAAUAUGUUUUUAUUUACAAGGGCGCGUAAGAAUGAUGAAGGUACAAAAUAGAAAAAGAUAGAAAACGCUAAGCUGCAUCGUCUCCGAAAUCAGGAGGAAGAGAAGUAUCUGCAUCCCUGAGAGUUGGUUCCACUGUUGGCUCAACGUUUUCCCCAGCUUGGUCUUCAGUAUCAUCACCUUCCGAUCCCUCUUCAGUUUUCGAAAACUCAAAACCGGAAUAAGAAAAACCUGAAGCGUCAGACUGCGCCGGGAGUCCAUUUUUUGCGACCAACUCAAGCUCUCGGGCCUUAGCAAUUUCGGCAUCAAUGUCAAUGAUACCAGUCUUGGUCUCUUCCAUAGUUUUUCUCCUCAUGCUAUACAUGGAAUAAGUUUUUUCAACAAUGAGGGAAGCCACUCAGUGCUUGAGUUCUUCUUUGAGUCGAGUAAUUUCGGCGAAAAGGUUUUCCCGGGCGGACCUAACAGAUUUGAGAUUGACAUCGAGCUUACAGACAGUUGAACUAUAGAGCCUAUUAUGAUCGAUAGUUUUCCUGUACUACUCUUCCAACUGGGCAUGUUUCUUCACCACACCAGCAAGCUCUUCGCUUUUGGAGUUUAAGGUUGCUUCCAAAUUAAUCACUCUUUCAGUGGAGGCAGCCUCGCGCUCGGUCGCAACAAGAAUGGCGUCCUGGACUUCAACCCAUUUAGCCUUGGCUUCAUCAAAUCUAACCCUCAACGGGCUAACUUCUUGGCUGAGGGUUAUCACUUCUUGCUCGCUUUGCUGCAAACGAGUUUCCAAAACGUCGGCCUUGGCAACUCUGGUUUCCAGUUCUGAGAGACGGAGAAUGGUUUGGUCCCGUUCUAACAAAAGUUGAUCCCGUUCAGAAGUAAGUCUUACCUUCUCCCGAAUCAACCUUUAAAGGCCUUCAGAAGUAAGAAAGUUGGCCUGCAAAACAAGAAGAGGUAAAACUCAAACACAUUCAAAAGUAGGGGAAAUAACAGAGGAAGAAAGAAACGUACCGCUGCAGCGUUAUGCAUAGCAUUGUUCAACAAACACUCUUCCGAGAGUGUCUAAAUCUUUUCCCAAUCCUUCUUUGAAGCCAAAGGCUUCAGAUAGUUAGCAAGCUCCACCGGCCUCGAAAUCAAGUUACACCCGGUGGAUACCGAAAGGGUAACUCCCUAUCCUUUGUAGAUCUUCAGAAGGGGCAACAUAAUUUUGCCCUAACUUUUCAUGAACUUGGGACUUUGGAGGAGAGAUACCUUCUUCAUGGUCAAGUGUGGCCGAGGGAGAUGAUGUUGCUGGUGGAAAAGUGGAUGAAGAUGGAAGUGAUGUAGCAGUUGCUGGUGUUGGAGAAAGUGGAUGAAGUUGAUGGGGUAGAAGAAUGAGAAACAGAUGCGUCAAAAGCAGCACUGGAUGUUGGGUGCUCGCCAACCGAAGAUGACAAGGACCCGGUACUCUGCCUCACUGUACCGGGCACAAUAAUUGGGGCUCGAGAAUGGGAGGUGACAUUAUCUACUAAAUCAAAUUCUUCCCAAAGUGCCGAGACAUCAUCCUCGGUUGGUAUGACUGUCUCAACAGGUUGAGCAUCCUGUUGAGAUGAUAAGGAUCGUCGCCUUCUAUGUAAAGAAGCUCCCUCAUCACUAGCUUCUUCAUCAUCAUAGUGUCUAUGACCGGCCCGGAAGGAGGACCAAUCAUCAUCUCCACCGGAGAUGACUCGGGGGCAGCAACCUUUGCCCUCUUAUUCUUUUCCCCGGCCGCAGAAGAUCAUCUUCUCUUUGGUUGCUUGUUCUCUGACCGGGGAUUCCCUGAAGAAACGUUUGCGCCCGAAGCAGGCUCGGAGACUCCUAUUCGAGUAUGUGCCUCCUGAAGAAGCCUCGCCGCAUCAGCAGGGCCAUCCAAAACAUCCUACUCGGGUACAUCAACUGAGCCCGCAGGUAGACCUAAUAUCAUGAACAAGUCAGAAGAAUUAAACCAAGUUCUUCGUAUACAAUGAAUGGAAACAAGGUACUUUAAAGUUACCAUGAAUUUUGGCCUUCCACCCGUAUUUAAGGGACAUCUCUUUCCACAAACGAGUUUCGGGCGUUGUGAUGUCCAAGAUCUUCUGAACCCACCAGACCAAGCCUUCUAUCACCGGUAGGAUCCAUCGAGUUGCUAUAAUAAACGAAGGUUGAAGGAUCCAUAUGAACAUGAAAGAAUAUUUAGUAGGAAAAUAUUUAUUAAAGGGAACUUACGAGAGCGGUUCCAAGAAACCGGAAAGGAUGAAGCCGUUGUUGGAAUAAUGUCACUGGUGGCAACUGCAACGAACUGUUUCAUCCACCCACAGUUGUUGUCAUCAUCCAUGCUAGGUAGUAAAGCAUGGUGGCCACACUUGAAAAGGUUUAUCAUUCCCUCUCGGGAGAUUUUGGGGGAAUAGGGAUUCAUCAUAUGAGCUAGGGUUAGCUCCUCUCCAGUUUCUUGGCACAAACACCGAAGGCAGGCGAUCGUCCUCAACACUGAAGGACUUACCUGUGCCAAGCACACUUGGUAGUGAAGGCAAAACUUGGCGAUUACGGAAUCAAGCUCUUCGCUAAAAAAAACGCACCCAAAGUAAAGGGAUACGUGAAGAAAUAUAUAAAACCUUCUUUGGGAAGGGUCACUCUCUCCGAUAAAUCAGGAGCAAUAAUAUUUAACUCAGGGAAACGACAGUCCUCCUUCAUAGCAGGAAUACUGGAAAGGCGAAUGGAAGAAGGUUAUCUACUAACGACCCAUGUACGAGGGUUAGCAGUAGGAAAUUUCUCUUCAAGAUCCUUCGAAGUACUAAGCCUUUUUGGGAUGAUGGAACCCACUGUUAGAGGAACAUAAUCCUCAGUUUUAUUCUUGCCCUUUGAAGAUCUAGCACGUUUUGAAGAAGAAGCCAUUGGAAUAGAAGGUAGAAAAAUUUCUGGUUCGAAGAAGAUCAGAGAAAAUUGGGAAACAAAGAUGCAAGUUAGAAGUUUGAGAAAUUAUAAAGUAUAUAAGAGGAGGAGGAUGUGUAUAAGUAAAAUUUUGGCGGCUAAAUUCAUGGCCAUGAUUACCUUGAUAAUCGAUAAAAGUUGUGCUGAAUCGUGGAAUGACGCAUGUUCGGGACAUUAAAUGCGGAGAGGCAGGCGUUUAAUCAACCGUCACUGGCCUUCAAAAGGAAUUAUAGUAAUUUCCGCCAAAAGAGUGUUUCUACCAACUUUCCGGUAAUACAAAGUUAUGCCAUCGGAAAGCAGGGGGACUAUCUGUAUAGAGAAAAAUAUGACAUGACACGUGGCCGCUUAAAAGAAGGACACAUAGAACACAAGAUGGAGAUGGCCACCGAACAUAGCUAUUCUGCUUGUCACCGGAAGGGAUAAAGAUCAUAAAAGGAGUAGUAAAUGUUUUGCGCCCGGUAAUAUUUAAUACAGAAUAUUUUACAGCAUUAAGGAUGAUGGCAUGCUACAAGGAAUUUGGCAUUUAUGUCUAACGUUACAUCUUCAUCAAUGACCCUCAUAAUUGACAUUAAAGAAGGGCAUGAUCAUAAGACUUCUUUCCCUAGACAUAACUAUAAAUAGAGAGCUCAAUUAUCAUUGUAAGGCACGAAUUUUCUGGCUAACUGACAUUAUAUUCUAUACAGCAUUUUAAUACAAGUUUAUUCUCUCGCUUUUGAUCUCAUCAUUGUUGUGCCCGGAAACAUUCUUCCCGGACUCAUUAACUUUGUUGUUUCAUCUACAUUCUAAGACUAAGUAUUUUAUAUUUCAUCAGUUAUUUCAUUACUUUUUGGAUCAAAUUAAUUCACUUGUCUAGAAACCACGAACAAAUUCAACUAUACCGUUUUUUGGGUAAACAAUAGUAAUAUAUUGCAAAUAUAUAGCUAAUAUCUUAUUAACUUGAAGUAACAGUAACGAUAUAAUUUAUAAUAUUAGUAUGUGAAGUUAAACACUUGUCUUUUAAGACUAUUAUACUUAAAGAAAAAGUGAAAAGGAAAAAGAAAAUUAGCUUUUUCAUAUUUGUAUUCGGUUAAAAAGUUUAAGGCCUGUUAUUAAUUUGGCUUUAGGACACUAGUUUUAUUAAUUGAAAUAGAAUUACUCACUUUCUUGAUCAGAAUUUUGAAAAAUAAAAGGCUUAGAUGUCUAACCUCGAGAGUUUUGACCCUUGCAAGAAUAUCUUCGGGCACCUCGUAUUUCUGUCCAUUUCCCUUUCCCUUCUUUUGUCUGCGCGAAGAUC
rnacentral:lncRNA from 1 species